rnacentral:rRNA from 1 species
GGACCAAGGAGUCCAACACAUGUGCGAGUAUUUGGGUGGCAAACCCUGAUGCGUAAUGAAAGUAAAUAUGGUGAGAAGCGCAAGCUGCAUCAUCGGCCGGUCCUGACAAUUUAUUGGAAGGUAUCGAGUAGGAGCACAUGUGCUGGGACCCGAAAGAUGGUGAACUAUACUUGAGCAGGGUGAGGCCAGAGGAAACUCUGGUGGAGGCUCGCAGCGGUUCUGACGUGCAAAUCGAUCGUCGGACUUGAGUAUAGGGGCGAAAGACUAAUCGAACCAUCUAGUAGCUGGUUCCCUCCGAAGUUUCCCUCAGGAUAGCUGGAGCUCAUAUCAGUUCCAUGCGGUAAAGCUAAUGAUUAGAGGUAAUGGGGGCGAAACGCCCUUAACCUAUUCUCAAACUUUGAAUGCGUGGGAUGCUUGGGUUGCUUAAUUGAACCCGAGCCUCGAAUGAGAGCUCUAAGUGGGCCAUUUUUGGUAAGCAGAACUGGCGAUGCGGGAUGAACCGAAAGCUGAGUUAAGGUGCCGGAAUACACGCUCAUUUAGAUCCCAUAAAAGGUGUUGGUUCAUUAUGACAGCAGGACGGUGCCCAUGGAGGUCGGGAUCCGCUAAGGAGUGUGUAACAACUCACCCGCCGAAUGAACUAGCCCUGAAAAUGGAUGGCGCUCAAGCGUGUUACCCAUACUCGGCCGGUGGGGUAGUGAAUGCCCCACCGUGUAGGAGGGCGUGGAGAUCGUGUAGAAGUCUGGGCGUGAGCCUUGAUGGAACGGUCUCUAGUGCAGAUCUUGGUGGUAGUAGCAAAUAUUCAGAUGGGUGUUUAAUCUGAAGGCCGAAGUGGAGAAAGGUUCCGCAGCUACAGUAAUUGUCUGCGGGUAAGUCGAUCCUAAGUGAUGGGGUAGUUCUGUCGUAACGGAAUGUUGCUGCACUCUUGUGCGGCUUCAUCACAAGCGAAAGGGUAUCCGGUUAAGAUUCCGGAACUGGGAUGUCGGAGCUCAUUUAUGAGUGGUCGCGGUAACGCAAUGCAAGUUGGAUACGCCUGCUGGCCUGCUGGGAGGAGUUACCUUCUCUUCUUGACUCUUAAACAACCGCGGUAGUUAGAUUGUCUAGUGAUACGGUUCUAAAGAGGCAGAGCAUCGAUUUAUUCUUUGUCCGGCACGUCCAGACGGCCCUUGAAACUCCAACGGUAGCUGUAUCUUGACACCCAGUCGUACUCAUAACCGUGUCAGGUCUCCUAGGUUAACAACCUCUGGUCCAUUAGAAUAAUGUAGGUAAGGGAAGUCGGCAAAUUAGAUCCGUAACUUCGGGAUAAGGAUUGGCUCUAAGGGUCGGGUGGUGAAAGUUAAAAGUUGAAGCUAUAGCGCUUUCAAAACGUGCCCUUGGGCGUGUGCGGUGGUCGCUAUAGUGGAUCUCUUAACCCAAUCACUACAUUUAACGGCCAGCUUAGAACUGGUACGGACAAGAGGAAUCUGACUGUCUAAUUAAAACAUAGCAUUGCGAUGGCCAGAAAUUGGUGUUAACGAAUGUUAUUUCUGCCCAAGUGCUCUGAUGUCAACGUGAAGAAAUUAAUGUGAUUUCUGCCCAGGGCUCUGAAUGUCAACGUGAAGAAAUUCAAGCAAGCGCGGGUAAACGGCGGGAGCAACUAAUGCUCUCUUAAGGUAGCCAAAUGCCUCGUCAUCUAAUUAGUGACGCGCAUGAAUGGAUUAACGAGAUUCCCACUGUUCCCUACCCACUAUCUAGCAAACACUCCAAGGGAACGGGCUUGGAAAAAUUAGCGGGGAAAGAAGACCUGUUGAGCUUGACUCUAGUCUGGCACUGUAAGGAGACAUGAGAGGUGUAGCAUUAAGUGGGAGAUUGCCAACAUCGCCGGUGGAAUUACCACUACCUUUCAUCUUUUUUUUUACUUACUCGGUAAGGCCGAAGCGCGUGCGCCGUUCGCUCUCGAGGCAGCGGCUGUCACGUAUUCUCGAGCCAAGCACGUAGAGUGGCGUUCCGUCCGUCGUGCCUUGGCCGCGUCGGUAGACCGUUUGCCGGUUCUGCUGGCGGGUUUUGGUGCGCUUUUCGGGCGCCGUUAUACGCUCCCGUGUGAUCCGAUUCGAGGACACUGUCAGGGCGGGGAGUUUGACCGGGGCCGGUACAUCCUGUCAAAGAAUAACGCGCAGGUGUCCUAAGGCCGCUCAACCGAGGACAGAAACCUCGCCUUAGAGCAAAGGGCAAAAGCUGGCCUGGUCUCGAUGUUCAGUAUGCAUAGAAGACUGCGAAAGCACCGGCCUAUCGAUCCCUUUUUUGGCUUGAAGAGUUUCAGCAAAGAGGUGUCAGAAAAGUUACCACAGGGAUAACUGGCCUUGUGGCGGCCAAGCGUUCAUAGCGCCGUCGUUUUUGAUCCUUCGAUGUCGGCUCUUCCUAUCAUUGCGAAGCAGAAUUCGCCAAGCGUCGGAUUGUUCAC